rnacentral:rRNA from 1 species
UACAGAGGUCUCAAGCGUUGUUCGGAUUCAUUGGGCGUAAAGGGUGCGUAGGUGGCGCCGUAAGUCGGGUGUGAAAUUUCGAGGCUUAACCUCAAAACUGCAUUCGAUACUGCGGUGCUUGAGGACUGGAGAGGAGACUGGAAUUCAUGGUGUAGCAGUGAAAUGCGUAGAGAUCAUGAGGAAGACCAGUGGCGAAGGCGGGUCUCUGGACAGUUCCUGACACUGAGGCACGAAGGCCAGGGGAGCAAACGGG